UACUUGCAAGGAAACUUGUUUUCUGUAUUGAGGAAAUUGCAAGGAAAUUUCCAGGGAGAUACUACUACUAAAUAUUAAGUCCACACUGCAUAAUUCGCCUUCAUAUAUACUUGAUCAUAACUUGAUAAGCAAGCAAGCAAGCUUAUGUACAGGAAAUAUAGUCCGGUCUAUAAUGAAAAACAUACUAGCAACUGAUUACUCGCGUCGAUCUUUGUGUCUACGUACUACUAGUAUACCGACAAUGUGAGGUCUUGAAAAUAUCAAAGGGGAGAUGUGCACCAGCUGCAUGCUAUUGUGUGGCUUCGUCUUGAAUACAAACAAUCCAGACCCCUCCGCCAGGAUCGACAAUCAGGAUAAGAUCGUAGCCGGGAGGCAUCAGCGGCGCCAUGAUAGAGAUCAUAUCUAGAAAGAGAAUAACAUAUGGCGUACUCCGUAAGAAUCAAUACACCAAGAGAAGGAAGAAAACUUAAGAAAUUAAGUACCGUUGCGCGGCGAAGAUGGACGUAAGAGAUGUCGGUCGAUUGAUCGACGAGGUAGCUCGAGGUGGUCCGUCGAUCGCCGCAGGCUGCGUGGUUGAGGAGAGUGGCUUUGGGAGCUCGGGGUUGCAGGGGAGAGGGAGAGAGGCUUCUGCGGCGAGGAUGGAUGGAGCAGACACUCUAUUUGUAGGAUUAUAG
rnacentral:lncRNA from 1 species